UACGGGGGGGGCAAGCGUUGUUCGGAAUUACUGGGCGUAAAGGGCUCGUAGGUGGCCAACUAAGUCAGACGUGAAAUCCCUCGGCUUAACCGGGGAACUGCGUCUGAUACUGGAAGGCUUGAGUGCGGGAGAGGGAUGUGGAAUUCCAGGUGUAGCGGUGAAAUGCGUAGAUAUCUGGAGGAACACCGGUGGCGAAGGCGGCAUCCUGGACCGACACUGACGCUGAGGCGCGAAAGCCAGGGGAGCAAACGGG
rnacentral:rRNA from 1 species